rnacentral:rRNA from 1 species
AGAGUUUGAUCAUGGCUCAGGAUGAACGCUGGCGGCGUGGAUAAGGCAUGCAAGUCAAACGGCCCGCAAGGGCAGUGGCAAACGAGGUAGUAACACGUAGAUACUUCCCCCAAAGCUCGGAAUAACUCAUCGAAAGAUGAGCUAAUACCGAAUGGUCUCUUCGGAGUAAAGAUUUAUCACUUUGGGAAAGGUCUGCGGGAUAUCAGCUAGUUGGUGAGGUAAAGGCUCACCAAGGCUAUGACGUCUAGGGGCGCUGAGAGGCGGAUCCCCACCGAUGGAACUGAGAUACGGUCCAUACACCUACGGGUGGCCGCAGUCGAGAAUCUUCCGCAAUGGGCGAAAGCCUGACGGAGCGACGCCGCGUGAUCGAUGAAGUCCUUAGGGAUGUAAAGAUCUUUUGUCGGGGAGAAAGUAAUUGAUAGUACCCGAAGAAUAAGGGGUUGCUAAACUCGUGCCAGCAGCAGCGGUAAUACGAGUGCCCCAAGCGUUAUCCGGAAUCAUUGGGCGUAAAGGGUGUGUAGGUUGUUUCAUUAGUCUUCUGUCAAAUUCUUCGGCUCAACCGGGGGUCCGCAGAAGAAACGGUGAAACUAGAGGAUGUGAGAGGUGAAUGGAACUCAUGGUGUAGGGGUGAAAUCCGUUGAUAUCAUGGGGAACACCAAAAGCGAAGGCAAUUCACUGGCACAUUCCUGACACUGAAACACGAAAGCGUGGGUAGCGAAUGGGAUUAGAUACCCUAGUAGUCC